rnacentral:rRNA from 1 species
AUGUCGUCAGCUGGCGAUGGGGGUGAUCAAGGGGGGACCGGUGAGGGCCCUACCCACCCGAAGUCGUCCGGCGGCGGCGCGAUCGUUUUUGUGCAGGACCAGAGGAACCAGCUCUUGGCAGUACCCGAGGAGAUUGAUCACUCCAGCAAUUGGGACGAGAGAGAAAGCACGGGGAUGGACGGACCGGCAGUCAGGGUGGACGGCGAUGUGGACUUGGAUGGUGACGUGGUGGUCGAGGAGGAGCCUGCCGUGGAGCCGAGGGCGGCGCCGCCGCGCUGGAGGUUACUUGGCCGAUACGUCAAUCAAGGGCGGCCAAACGUUGAUGAUAUGACAGAGCACUUCAGCAACGUUUGGAAGGUUAGGUCGGGCCUGAACAUUGCUCGGAUCAAGAACAAUUGGUAUGCAGUGACUUUUUUCUCUGAAGGAGACUACAAUUUUGUGGCUCGUGGGGGUCCAUGGAUAUACAAAGGGAAUGCUCUUCUUGUUGGGCAGUUUAAGGGAGGCGAUCAGCCCUCUGAAGCUGAGUUGAAUGAAGUUCCAGUUUGGGUGCGUGUGUACAAUGUGCCUUGGGAUAAACAGACAGUGGAUUAUGGGAACUUCCUGGGAGGCUUGCUUGGCAAGGUUCUGGAGGUAGAUGCGGAGGUGGAUGCAAGCAGAGUUCGUGAGUUUCUGCGAGUAAGGGUCGAGCUGCCUUUGAGCCGCCGUCUACAGAUGAGAAUUACCAUUGGCCGAGCCCCAACCAAACAGUUGGUGUAUCCACUAAGGUAUGAGAGGGUUCCUCACUACUGUUUCUGGUGUGGAUUCAUCGGACACGACGACAACCAGUGCGAGAAGAAGAGGCUGGGUGUUCCCUCUCGUGCUUAUGAUGAAGGCUUAAGGUGCUCUCCUUAUAGGAAAUAUGAAAACAGAUCAGCUUUUGUCGCCCCGGGUACACAGCCGGCUGCGCGCCGUGGACUCAACUUCUCAAGUAAUGCUCCAUCAGAGGUACUGGGACAGCCAAGGGACAGUCGGCGGAAUAGGCGUAAUCAACCACAACAGCAGGAUCGGGAUAUUCCAGCUCGGGUAGAUGCGAGAGAUGGUUUUGAGGACCGGGAGUGCACUGGUGCACCGGUAGUUGACGCGGAACUAUCAUCACGAGUUCUAGCCAUGAAUAUGAAACAACCUCAGCAAACCAGGGAGACCAGCAACAGGAGAGCCACCCGUGCAACUUCUGAACCUCCAUCCUUUGUGUUCCUGGGAGGCAAGGUCGAGGCACCUAUACCGUAUGCUGUCCGGGCCCCGGCGUCCACCGCAAGUUUCAGUAGCAAUGUUCACAGCUCACAGAUGAUUCCGGCCGUACGCAACUUGAAUAACUUGAGUAACAACACCGGAUUCUCAUAUGAGGACUCCGACCAACACAUGCAAGAGUGUGACUCGGUGUUGGGGAAGAGGCUCUCCAGGGUCACGUGCACUAGGGGGGCUGUUGAUGCUCAGGGAGGUGCGAUCAUACUGCAUAGCAAGGAGGGUGAGGGUAACAUUCAGAAAAAAGGGAAGCUUGGAGACAGUGAACAGAACCAGCUCGAGGAAGAUGGAAGGGACCUUGUGCACAGCAUGGAGGGCAUGGAGGCAGCCGGUCUUGGGGCCACCGGUAGACUGACGGGGAAUGCCGUGCCGCCCCGUCAGGAGCAAUGA